rnacentral:rRNA from 1 species
CUGGCGGCGUGCCUAAUACAUGCAAGUCGAGCGGACAGAUGGGAGCUUGCUCCCUGAUGUUAGCGGCGGACGGGUGAGUAACACGUGGGUAACCUGCCUGUAAGACUGGGAUAACUCCGGGAAACCGGGGCUAAUACCGGAUGGUUGUUUGAACCGCAUGGUUCAAACAUAAAAGGUGGCUUCGGCUACCACUUACAGAUGGACCCGCGGCGCAUUAGCUAGUUGGUGAGGUAACGGCUCACCAAGGCAACGAUGCGUAGCCGACCUGAGAGGGUGAUCGGCCACACUGGGACUGAGACACGGCCCAGACUCCUACGGGAGGCAGCAGUAGGGAAUCUUCCGCAAUGGACGAAAGUCUGACGGAGCAACGCCGCGUGAGUGAUGAAGGUUUUCGGAUCGUAAAGCUCUGUUGUUAGGGAAGAACAAGUACCGUUCGAAUAGGGCGGUACCUUGACGGUACCUAACCAGAAAGCCACGGCUAACUACGUGCCAGCAGCCGCGGUAAUACGUAGGUGGCAAGCGUUGUCCGGAAUUAUUGGGCGUAAAGGGCUCGCAGGCGGUUUCUUAAGUCUGAUGUGAAAGCCCCCGGCUCAACCGGGGAGGGUCAUUGGAAACUGGGGAACUUGAGUGCAGAAGAGGAGAGUGGAAUUCCACGUGUAGCGGUGAAAUGCGUAGAGAUGUGGAGGAACACCAGUGGCGAAGGCGACUCUCUGGUCUGUAACUGACGCUGAGGAGCGAAAGCGUGGGGAG